rnacentral:rRNA from 1 species
UACGGGGGGGGCAAGCGUUGUUCGGAAUUACUGGGCGUAAAGGGCUCGUAGGCGGCCAACUAAGUCAGACGUGAAAUCCCUCGGCUUAACCGGGGAACUGCGUCUGAUACUGGUUGGCUUGAAUCCGGGAGAGGGAUGUGGAAUUCCAGGUGUAGCGGUGAAAUGCGUAGAUAUCAGGAGGAACACCGGUGGCGAAGGCGGGUCUCUGGGAAGUAACUGACGCUGAGAAGCGAAAGCGUGGGUAGCGAACAGG